UCCUCGGAGCUUUGCUGAAACUGCACAAAAAAUCAAGCUGGGGGGUUCCCUGGUCCCUGGCGAUGGGGCGGGGGAGCGCGGCGCCAGGGGAGGGGGCGGGCGCGGCAGCGCGGGCCCCGCCGAGAGGGGACACCUGGCUGAGGCACAGCUGCUGCCCGCCGCGCCGCGCCGCGCCGCGCCGCUCCGCGCGAACCCAGGGCUCCGGUCCCUGCGCGGGCUCGAGAGCUCGCCCAGACCGGGGGUCUGCCUCCUCCGCCGUUGACAGGUUUUGACCUUUAGGAGAGAGCCAAUUCUGGAGAACAACCUAACUUCUUUGAUUGAACAUUCACAUAAUGCAUUGGAACAUGAUAGGAGGUUAAGGUGAAUAACAACAAAAUGAAGACCAUAAUAAAACAAGCCCCCUACUUAGCCCUGCAAUUCUUACCUUUCUUACCUACUUGAUGAAGAUGUCAUUUGAAUUGGUGUACUGCAAGGAAUUAAAUGCUGUUUGUAAAUUAUGCUUUUACCAAGGUUUAAGUUGAUGCCAAAUAAUUCCAAUAUUGAGCAUCUUAAAUCUGUUACUUGGAGUAUGGAUUGAGUUUGGAGCUAACUCAGAGGACUACAGGCAAGUAUUCAGGAGGUAGUCAGAGGGAUAUCUUAAUAGUUGAACAAUUCAGCUUGCAUACUAUAUUCAAAUGCAGAUCUCUUAAGAUCACAUAUAUGUGAAAGUAGAAUUGACAAUUUGAUCAUAGACUAAAUGCCAUAUUUAACAGUAAAGAUUUUCUUCAAUCAAUUAUGUAACCUUUUAAUUGUUAUAGAAUUAGAGGUGUUUUUAAGCCACCAAGUGUCAUUACUGAUAUAUGUUCAGGUUGGCCAUAACUGGAUUAGCAAGAUUAUACUUUAAUAAACUAUGAUUUCUAAGUUAAUGUAUUUAUUUAUUUAGAAGUUG